GAUGAACGCUGGCGGCGUGCCUAAUACAUGCAAGUCGUGCGAAGCGGGGACUGGUGAUUAACACGUGGAUAACCUCCUAUAAGACUGGGAUAACUUCGGGAAACCGGAGCUAAACCGGAUACUUAUAGAUGGAUCCGCGCUGCAUUAGCUAGUUGGUAAGGUAACGGCUGACCAAGGCAACGAUGCAUAGCCGACCUGAGAGGGUGCUCGGCCACAGUGGAGCGGAGACACGGUACAGAUUCCUAGGUGAGGCAGCAGUAGGGAAUCUUCCGGAAGGGGCAAGAGCAUGACGGAGCCACGCCGCGUGAGUGAUAAGGGUCUUCAGAUCAUAAAACUCUGUUAUUAGGGAAGCGGUGCCUAAUCAGAAAGCAACGGAUAACUACAUGCCAGCAGCCGCGUAAUUC
rnacentral:rRNA from 1 species